rnacentral:rRNA from 1 species
GACCUCAAAUCAGGUAGGACUACCCGCUGAACUUAAGCAUAUCAAUAAGCGGAGGAAAAGAAACUAACAAGGAUUCCCCUAGUAACUGCGAGUGAAGCGGGAAAAGCUCAAAUUUAAAAUCUGGUGGUCUUUGGCCAUCCGAGUUGUAAUCUAGAGAAGUGUUAUCCGCGCUGGACCGUGUACAAGUCUCCUGGAAUGGAGCGUCAUAGAGGGUGAGAAUCCCGUCUUUGACACGGACUGCCAGUGCUUUGUGAUGCGCUCUCAAAGAGUCGAGUUGUUUGGGAAUGCAGCUCAAAAUGGGUGGUAAAUUCCAUCUAAAGCUAAAUAUUGGCGAGAGACCGAUAGCGAACAAGUACCGUGAGGGAAAGAUGAAAAGAACUUUGGAAAGAGAGUUAAACAGUACGUGAAAUUGUUGAAAGGGAAACGCUUGAAGUCAGUCGCGUUGUCCGGGGAUCAACCUUGCUUUUGCUGGGUGUACUUUCCGGUUGACGGGUCAGCAUCAAUUUUGACCGUUGGAUAAAGUCUAGGGGAAUGUGGCAUCUUCGGAUGUGUUAUAGCCCUUGGUCGUAUACAACGGUUGGGAUUGAGGAACUCAGCACGCCGCAAGGCCGGGAAUUCGUUCCACGUUCGUGCUUAGGAUGCUGGCAUAAUGGCUUUAAUCGACCCGUCUUGAAACACGGACCAAGGAGUCUAACAUGCCUGCGAGUGUUUGGGUGGAAAACCCGAGCGCGUAAUGAAAGUGAAAGUUGAGAUCCCUGUCGCGGGGAGCAUCGACGCCCGGACCAGACCUUUUGUGACGGAUCCGCGGUAGAGCAUGUAUGUUGGGACCCGAAAGAUGGUGAACUAUGCCUGAAUAGGGUGAAGCCAGAGGAAACUCUGGUGGAGGCUCGUAGCGAUUCUGACGUGCAAAUCGAUCGUCAAAUUUGGGUAUAGGGGCGAAAGACUAAUCGAACCAUCU